UCUACUAUCCAGCGAAACCAC
rnacentral:snRNA from 1 species